GACGAACGCUGGCGGCGUGCUUAACACAUGCAAGUCGAACGGAAAGGCCCUGCUUGCCGGGUACUCGAGUGGCGAACGGGUGAGUAACACGUGGGUGAUCUGCCCUGCACUUCGGGAUAAGCCUGGGAAACUGGGUCUAAUACCGGAUAGGAGCCAUUCUUAGUGUGAUGGUUGGAAAGUUUUUUCGGUGUAGGAUGAGCUCGCGGCCUAUCAGCUUGUUGGUGGGGUAAUGGCCUACCAAGGCGGCGACGGGUAGCCGGCCUGAGAGGGUGGACGGCCACAUUGGGACUGAGAUACGGCCCAGACUCCUACGGGAGGCAGCAGUGGGGAAUAUUGCACAAUGGGCGCAAGCCUGAUGCAGCGACGCCGCGUGGGGGAUGACGGCCUUCGGGUUGUAAACUCCUUUCGCUAGGGACGAAGCUUUUUGUGACGGUACCUAGAUAAGAAGCACCGGCUAACUACGUG
rnacentral:rRNA from 1 species